rnacentral:rRNA from 1 species
AGCGUACGCUGGCGGCAGGCUUAACACAUGCAAGUCGAACGCCCCGCAAGGGGAGUGGCAGACGGGUGAGUAACACGUGGGAACGUACCCUUUGGUUCGGAAUAACUUGGGGAAACUCAAGCUAAUACCGGAUAAGCCCUUAUGGGGAAAGGUUUACUGCCGAAGGAUCGGCCCGCGUCUGAUUAGCUAGUUGGUGAGGUAAUGGCUCACCAAGGCGACGAUCAGUAGCUGGUCUGAGAGGAUGAUCAGCCACACUGGGACUGAGACACGGCCCAGACUCCUACGGGAGGCAGCAAUGGGGAAUAUUGGACAAUGGGGGCAACCCUGAUCCAGCCAUGCCGCGUGAGUGAUGAAGGCCUUAGGGUUGUAAAGCUCUUUUACCCGGGACGAUAAUGACUGUACCGGGAGAAUAAGCCCCGGCUAACUUCGUGCCAGCCGCCGCGGUAA